UACUUUAUUUUAUCAAUUACCAAAAACCUAACCCUUCUCCUCAAAAAAAUCCCUAACACUACUCCUCUUCAUUUCCGCUUUAACUCAACAAAUCCCUAACAUCAUUUCCAAACAAAUCGCACAUUUGUGUUCUUCAGAGAUAAUCUUCACUCGUUUCUCUAAUUGAAGCAGUUUAAGAGAAGCAAGCAAUUCACUGUUCAGAGAUAAUAAUAUUUUUUGUUUGUCGAGAGAUAAUAAUAUUCACUCGUUUUGAUCUGUUUCUCUUAUCGUUUUGACAUAAUUUCUCUGUUUUUUGCUGAUUUUGAAGGUACGCAAAGCAGAUUCAAAGCCAGUAAAGAAUAAUGUCUAAUCGAGUUGUGACUGAUUUUGUUGUUCUCUCUAUGACUCUUGGGCUGUUUUAGACUUAUUGUGAAUAAUGCAAUUGGGACAAGAAGAUGGGGCUUUCGUUUACGAAGCUGUUCAGUACGGCUUUUCGCCAAGAGAGAAAAGAGAAUACUUCUGGUAGGUCUCGAUGUGGCCGGUAAGACUACCAUUUUGUAUAAGCUCAAGCUCGGAAAGAUUGUCACAACUAUUCCUACUAUCGGAUUUAUUGUGGAGACUGUUGAAUAUAAGAACAUUAGCUAGCUUCACUGCUGGGAUGUUGGAGGCCAGGACAAGGUAUAUAAUUUUAUUGCUUCUCUUGGAUAUAUAGUAUUAUAAAAUGUUAUUGUAAAAUGGAUAUGUUAAUUUAAGUUUAAUGAAUUGCUGAAGAUUGUGAGUUACCUUCUUAGAUUGACCUAUUCUUAGGUACACCAUUGACCAAACUUGUUGCAAUAUGUGUUUUAGUGGCCUGCUAUAAUCAGGAUAUCAUCUGGUGGGCUUAUGGACGGUCCUGUGCUGAUCAUAUUUUCC